ACGGAGGGGGCUAGCGUUGUUCGGAAUUACUGGGCGUAAAGCGCACGUAGGCGGCUUUGUAAGUUAGAGGUGAAAGCUCGGGGCUCAACUCCGAGUCGGCCGUGCGAACUGGGGGGCUGGAGCACAGUAGAGGCAGAUGGAAUUCCGGGUGUAGCGGUGGAAUGCGUAGAGAUCCGGAAGAACACCGGUGGCGAAGGCGGUCUGCUGGGCUGUGGCUGACGCUGAGGCGCGACAGCGUGGGGAGCAAACAGGA
rnacentral:rRNA from 1 species